rnacentral:rRNA from 1 species
CAACAGAGGGAGGCAAAGCCGCGAGGCAGAGCAAACCCCUAAAAAGCCAUCCCAGUUCGGAUUGCGGGCUGCAACCCGCCUGUAUGAAGUUGGAAUCGCUAGUAAUCGCGGAUCAGCAUGCCGCGGUGAAUACGUUCCCGGGCCUUGUACACACCGCCCGUCACACCAUGAGAGUCGGGAACACCCGAAGUCCGUAGCCUAACCGCAAGGAGGGCGCGGCCGAAGGUGGGUUCGAUAAUUGGGGUGAAGUCGUAACAAGGUAGC